AUUGAACGCUGGCGGAAUGCUUUACACAUGCAAGUCGAGCGGCAGCGCGGGGCAACCUGGCGGCGAGCGGCGAACGGGGUGAGUAAUGUAUCGGAACGUAUCCUUAAGUGGGGGACAACUAGUCGAAAGACUAGCUAAUACCGCAUACGAUCGAGAGAUGAAAGUGGGGGACCGCAAGGCCUCACGCUUUUGGAGCGGCCGAUGCCGGAUUAGCUAGUUGGUGAGGUAAAGGCUCACCAAGGCGACGAUCCGUAGCUGGUCUGAGAGGACGACCAGCCACACUGGAACUGAGACACGGUCCAGACUCCUACGGAGGCAGCAGUGGGGAAUUUUGGACAAUGGGCGCAAGCCUGAUCCAGCCAUUCCGCGUGAGUG
rnacentral:rRNA from 1 species